GACGAACGCUGGCGGCGUGCUUAACACAUGCAAGUCGAACGGUGAAGGGACCGGUUUUUGCUGGUUCUGGAUGAGUGGCGAACGGGUGAGUAACACGUGAGUAACCUGCCCCCUUCUUCUGGAUAACCGCAUGAAAGUGUGGCUAAUACGGGAUAUUCUGCGCCUGCUGCAUGGUGGGUGUGGGAAAGAUAUUGUUUCGGUGGGGGAUGGGCUCGCGGCCUAUCAGCUUGUUGGUGGGGUGAUGGCCUACCAAGGCGGUGACGGGUAGCCGGCCUGAGAGGGUGGACGGUCACACUGGGACUGAGACACGGCACAGACUCCUACGGGAGGCAGCAGUGGGGAAUAUUGCACAAUGGGCGCAAGCCUGAUGCAGCGACGCCGCGUGAGGGAUGGAGGCCUUCGGGUUGUAAACCUCUUUCGCCAGUGAAGCAGGCCUGUCCCUUUUGUGGGUGGGUUGACGGUAGCUGGAUAAGAAGCGCCGGCUAACUACGUG
rnacentral:rRNA from 1 species